UACGAAGGGGGGCUAGCGUUGCUCGGAAUCACUGGGCGUAAAGGGUGCGUAGGCGGGUUUUUAAGUCAGGGGUGAAAUCCUGGAGCUCAACUCCAGAACUGCCUUUGAUACUGAAGAUCUUGAGUCCGGGAGAGGUGAGUGGAACUGCGAGUGUAGAGGUGAAAUUCGUAGAUAUUCGCAAGAACACCAGUGGCGAAGGCGGCUCACUGGCCCGAUACUGACGCUGAGACGCGAAAGCGUGGGGAGCAAACAGG
rnacentral:rRNA from 1 species